AACUUUCUGCGGGGCCCGUCACCGAGUUACGAUGAUUGAGCCAACGCCGUUAAAUAGGGAGACCGACGCCGCAUCAGCCAGUGCACUUCUUCACCGUUAAGAAUUGCCAGAGGCUGCGGCAGACAUAGGUCACCCACCUGUAAUGCAGGUUCAAUUUCGGCUUCGGAACGACUCAGCGGAUCUCCC
rnacentral:other from 1 species